rnacentral:rRNA from 1 species
GAUGAACGCUGGCGGCGUGCCUAAUACAUGCAAGUCGAGCGAACGGACGAGAAGCUUGCUUUUCUGAUGUUAGCGGCGGACGGGUGAGUCACACGUGGCUAACCUACCUAUAAGACUGGGAUAACUUCGGGAAACCGGAGCUAAUACCGGAUAAUAUUUUGAACCGCAUGGUUCAAAAGUGAAAGACGGUCUUGCUGUCACUUAUAGAUGGAUCCGCGCUGCAUUAGCUAGUUGGUAAGGUAACGGCUUACCAAGGCAACGAUGCAUAGCCGACCUGAGAGGGUGAUCGGCCACACGGGAACUGAGAAACGGUCCAGACUCCUACGGGAGGCAGCAGUAGGGAAUCUUCCGCAAUGGGCGAAAGCCUGACGGAGCAACGCCGCGUGAGUGAUGAAGGUCUUCGGAUCGUAAAACUCUGUUAUUAGGGAAGAACAUAUGUGUAAGUAACUGUGCACAUCUUGACGGUACCUAAUCAGAAAGCCACGGCUAACUACGUG